UACGUAGGGUGCAAGCGUUAAUCGGAAUUACUGGGCGUAAAGCGUGCGCAGGCGGUUCGCUAAGACCGAUGUGAAAUCCCCGGGCUUAACCUGGGAACUGCAUUGGUGACUGGCGGGCUAGAGUAUGGCAGAGGGGGGGUAGAAUUCCACGUGUAGCAGUGAAAUGCGUAGAGAUGUGGAGGAACACCGAUGGCGAAGGCAGCCCCCCUGGGUCAAGAUUGACGCUCAUGCACGAAAGCGUGGGGAGCAAACAGG
rnacentral:rRNA from 1 species